GGAUCAGUGAUUCAUUCACCGAGAACAAUCUUUGUGAAGUUGUUAGAGGAAUUGCCGGGGAUCUUGUGGAAGAGGUGCAACUAAUAGACAACUUCACGAAUAAGAAAGGAAUGACCAGUCACUGCUAUAGGAUUACUUACCGUUCCAUGGAGCGCUCACUCACAGAUGAGGAAAUAAACGAUUUGCAGUGGAAAGUAAGAGAUCAAGUGGAGAGCAAAUUAAAAGUCGUUCUUAGAUGAGUAUUCCUUCCUUACUUAUUUUUCGUCACUUAUUUUCUGUUUUUCUUUCUUUGUGCCGGGAACAUAUAUUAUACCUUUUCUGGACUUGUUUUACCUCUGCUAGUUCAUUGCACUUGUAGAUUGUAUAGGGAAAGGAAAACCUUAGUGAAUUUGCUGUCAUUUGAAGUUUUGAAGCCAAUUGUUCUAAUAA